UAGGCUGGGUGAAGAGGGGGGCUCUGGGACCAUGGACAGGGGGCUCACAUCUGCCACAGAGAUGGGACAGCAGCAAACUUGUGCCCCAUCAUCCA